GUGUGUCCGCUGGGGUGGGGGC
rnacentral:miRNA from 1 species